rnacentral:rRNA from 1 species
GUGGGGAAUAUUGGACAAUGGGCGCAAGCCUGAUCCAGCCAUGCCGCGUGAGUGAUGAAGGCCUUAGGGUUGUAAAGCUCUUUCAGUAGGGAAGAUAAUGACGGUACCUACAGAAGAAGCCCCGGCUAACUUCGUGCCAGCAGCCGCGGUAAUACGAAGGGGGCUAGCGUUGUUCGGAUUUACUGGGCGUAAAGCGCACGUAGGCGGAUUGGUCAGUUAGAGGUGAAAUCCCGAAGCUCAACUUCGGAACUGCCUUUAAUACUGCCAGUCUCGAGUCCGGAAGAGGUGAGUGGAACUCCUAGUGUAGAGGUGGAAUUCGUAGAUAUUAGGAAGAACACCAGUGGCGAAGGCGGCUCACUGGUCCGGUACUGACGCUGAGGUGCGAAAGCGUGGGGAGCAAACAGGAUUAGAAACCCCUGUAGUCC